GGGUUUAUAGCUCAUCAGGAUAGAGCAGCUGCCUUCUAAGCAGCAGGUAGGGGGUUCGAGUCCCUCUAGACCCG
rfam:Treponema lecithinolyticum ATCC 700332 genomic scaffold Scaffold48, whole genome shotgun sequence.